rnacentral:rRNA from 1 species
CAGCCGCCGCGGGAACACAGAGGGUGCGAGCGUUUAUCGGAUUUACUGGGCGUAAAGCGUGCGUAGGCGGCUUUUUAAGUCGGAUGUGAAAUCCCUGAGCUUAACUUAGGAAUUGCAUUCGAUACUGGGAAGCUAGAGUAUGGGAGAGGAUGGUAGAAUUCCAGGUGUAGCGGUGAAAUGCGUAGAGAUCUGGAGGAAUACCGAUGGCGAAGGCAGCCAUCUGGCCUAAUACUGACGCUGAGGUACGAAAGCAUGGGGAGCAAACAGGAUUAGAUACCCCAGUAGUCCCUGUCUCUUAUAC